GACGAACGCUGGCGGCGUGCCUAAUACAUGCAAGUAGAACGCUGAAGGAGGAGCUUGCUUCUCUGGAUGAUUUGCGAACGGGUGAGUAACGCGUAGGUAACCUGCCUGGUAGCGGGGGAUAACUAUUGGGAACGAUAGCUAAUACCGCAUAAGAGUAGAUGUUGCAUGACAUUUACUUAAAAGGUGCAAUUGCAUCACUACCAGAUGGACCUGCGUUGUAUUAUCUAGUUGGUGGGGUAACGGCUCACCACGGCGACGAUACAUAGCCGACCUGGGAGGGUGAUCGGCCACACUGGGACUGGGAAACGGCCCAGACUCCUACGGGAGGCAGCAGUAGGGAAUCCUCGGCAAUGGACGGAAGGCUGAACGAGCAACGCCGCGUGAGUGAAGAAGGGUCUCCGAUCGUAAAGCUUCGUUGUAAGAGAAGAAAGAGAGUGAGAGUGGAAAGUUCACGCUGUGACGGUACCUAACCAGAAAGGGACGGCUAACUACGUG
rnacentral:rRNA from 1 species